rnacentral:sRNA from 1 species
AGCUGUUCCCCUCUGGAGGUUUUAACCUUCAAACUUAUCAGGCCGCGGAGACAUCCAGCGGCCUUCUUUUUUGGGAAGC